GCCGACGUAGCUCAGUUGGUAGAGCAGCUGAUUCGUAAUCAGCAGGUCAGCAGUUCGAGUCUGCUCGUCGGCUCCA
rnacentral:tRNA from 1 species